CCUGUUUUGUUUAUUUGCACUCUGACCUUUAUUAAUUAAAUUUUGUGUUUGUGUUUGGCAAGUUUUAUAAAGUUAAGUGCAGUGCGUACCGUAGCCUCUGGAUAUCUUGUCAAGUCUGCUCUACCCUCAAAUAAGACAGAUUUCACUAUAAAACCACCGAAGUGUAGUCUGCCUUGAGUUACAAACUCCAUUAGUUCCUUAGUGGUAUUGUACGUACAUGUACACAAGCUGGCCGCAUCGAACCCUAAAUAUCAGAAUACAAAAGGGAUGGAAUCGAGGCUGUCUACACCAGAUUGUACUACAAAAU